rnacentral:rRNA from 1 species
CCCUUAGAUGUCCUGGGCCGCACGCGCGCUACACUGAACGGAUCAGCGCGUUUUCCCUUCCCGAGAGGGACGGGUAACCUGCUGAACCCCGUUCGUGGUAGGGAUCGGGGCUUGCAAUUAUUCCCCGUGAACCAGGAAUGCCCAGUAAGUGCAAGUCAUAAGCUUGCGUUGAUUACGUCCCUGCCCUUUGUACACACCGCCCGUCGCUACUACCGAUUGAACGUUUUAGUGAGGUACUCGGACUGAGCCUCAGAAGAUUCACGUCUUUUGUGCUGCUCGGGAAGAUUCCCAAACUUGAGCGUUUAGAGGAAGCAAAAGUCGUAACA